rnacentral:rRNA from 1 species
GACGAACGCUGGCGGCGUGCUUAACACAUGCAAGUCGAGCGGAAAGGCCCUUUCGGGGGUACUCGAGCGGCGAACGGGUGAGUAACACGUGAGUAAUCUGCCCCUGGCUUUGGGAUAGCCACCGGAAACGGUGAUUAAUACCGGAUACGACCACUUCUCGCAUGGGAUGGUGGUGGAAAGUUUUUCGGCCAGGGAUGUGCUCGCGGCCUAUCAGCUUGAUGGUGAGGUAAUGGCUCACCAGGGCUUCGACGGGUAGCCGGCCUGAGAGGGGGACCGGUCACCCUGGGACUGAGACACGACCCAGACUCCUACGGUAGGCAGCAGUGGGGAAUGUGGGACAAUGGGCGGAAGCCUGAUCCAGCAACGCCGCGUGAGGGAUGACGGCCUUCGGGUUGUAAACCUCUUUCAGCAGGGACGAAGCGCAAGUGACGGUACCUGCAGAAGAAGCACCGGCCAACUACGUGCCAGCCGCCGCGGUAA